rnacentral:pre_miRNA from 1 species
AUCCUCCGUAAUCCGUGCCGAGAUUUCUUCAAACACCAGACUAUCAGGUGUGAUGAGACUCCUGAGAUAAGUGAUGCA